AUGUUGGCCAAAUCAUGGGCAACCAAAACCUCAACCAAAAUUUUGGCAAGCCAAUGCUUUGGUGGGGCAACCUUGGGCACAAACCAAACACACCCUAAUUCAUUUUUCUUGCCAAUGUCGGACAGCUCAUGGACGACCAAAAUUUUGGCUAGCCAAUGUUUUAAUGGGACAACUUUGGGCAUAAACCAAACAGACAUAGUAAACCAGGAUGUAAGCCCAGCCACUUAUAUGGAAACCAGAAGUUAUUGUUCUGGGGAUCUCAUACAAUGUGAAAUGACACAAAGGUCAAUACUUGGGUUCAGGUUGAGUGUUGGGUCAUUAAACACAGAAAUUUCUACUAGCUGUUGGUUGUACUUGAGAAACAAUUAA
rnacentral:rRNA from 1 species